AUUGAACGCUGGCGGCAGGCUUAACACAUGCAAGUCGAGCGGAGAUGAGGUGCUUGCACCUUAUCUUAGCGGCGGACGGGUGAGUAAUGCUUAGGAAUCUGCCUAUUAGUGGGGGACAACAUUCCGAAAGGAAUGCUAAUACCGCAUACGUCCUACGGGAGAAAGCAGGGGAUCUUCGGACCUUGCGCUAAUAGAUGAGCCUAAGUCGGAUUAGCUAGUUGGUGGGGUAAAGGCCUACCAAGGCGACGAUCUGUAGCGGGUCUGGGAGGAUGAUCCGCCACACUGGGACUGAGACACGGCCCAGACUCCUACGGGAGGCAGCAGUGGGGAAUAUUGGACAAUGGGCGGAAGCCUGAUCCAGCCAUGCCGCGUGUGUGAAGAAGGCCUUUUGGUUGUAAAGCACUUUAAGCGAGGAGGAGGCUACCUGGAUUAAUACUCUAGGAUAGUGGACGUUACUCGCAGAAUAAGCACCGGCUAACUCUGUGCCAGCAGCCGCGGUAAUAC
rnacentral:rRNA from 1 species